rnacentral:rRNA from 1 species
CAAUAGCGUAUAUUAAAGUUGUUGCAGUUAAAAAGCUCGUAGUUGGAUUUCGGGGCAGCCUGGCUGGUCCGCCGCAAGGCGAGUACUGGUCAGCCGCCCUUCCUCUCGAAAGCCACGACUGCUCUUCGUUGCAGUGGUCGGGUAGUUCGGGACGUUUACUUUGAAAAAAUUAGAGUGUUCAAGGCAGGCCUACGCCUGAAUACAUUAGCAUGGAAUAAUGGAAGAGGACCUCGGUCCUAUUUUGUUGGUUUCCAGGGCCGAAGUAAUGAUUAAGAGGGACAGUUGGGGGCAUUCGUAUUUAAUUGUCAGAGGUGAAAUUCUCGGAUUUAUGAAAGACGAACAACUGCGAAAGCAUUUGCCAAGGAUGUUUUCAUUAA